rnacentral:lncRNA from 1 species
GGCAGUCCUGGAUAUAGGCCACCAUCACAGUCUUUCCUGCUUGCUUCAUCAGAUGAAAAUCUUCUGCAGGAUGAGUCAGUAAUGGUUGAUAUUCCAUUGAUUGACCAAGGAUUUUAUGGAAAUGGCAUCAAUAAUUAUAAGGAGGAGCUCAAAACUGUUGGAGUAAAGUUUGAAUAUGGCGAAGCGUGUGAGUUUAUAGGGAGGCACCUCAUGUCUCUUGCAGCUUCCUCUGCAUUGACUAAAUCCAAUGUGUUUCAAAUACUUAAGUUCAUCAGAUUUUUGAGACUUAGAUGUCUUCCGGCUGAUAAAUUCAUCCAGAGCAUCAAAGAUGGAAGGUGGUUGAAGACUUCCUGUGGUCACAGGUCUCCAGUUGGAUCUGUUUUAUUUGACCAGGAAUGGGAAGCUGCAUCACAAAUAAGUGACAUCCCCUUCAUUGACCAAGAUCACUAUGGCAAGGAAAUCCUUGGUUUCAAAAUGGAACUCCAAUUGCUUGGUGUGCUGGUUGGCUUUAACAAAAAUUACCAGCUUGUUACCGAUCACUUCAAGUCUCAAGCAUGCUCAAAUUGUCCAACAGCCAAGUCUAUUCUUUUGAUAUUUGAAUGCAUGUGGGAUUGCGAGCGCAAUUCAAGAUCAGCCCAUGAGCUUGUGCAUGCGCUUAAAGGUAAUAAAUGCUUGAAGACGAACAUGGGCUACAAGUUUCCUAGUGAAUGUUUCCUGUUUAAUACUGAGUGGGAUUCGCUUCUGAAAGUCUUCCAUAAUGAUUUUCCACUUAUUGAUGAAAACUUCUAUGGAACCAGCAUCUUGUCUUACGAAAAAGAGUUGAGGCAAGCAGGUGUAGUGGUGGAUUUUGAAGCAGCGACCCAGAAAUUUUUAGCUGUUUUCAAGAAGCAUGCAUCCUCGUCUUCUAUUGGAAGAGAACAUGUUCUGUCUUUUCUCAGGUCUUACGGACAGAUUAAUAAGACAAACAAGAAGUUUCCUUCAGAUUUUAAGCACAACAUUUGUGAGGCAAAAUGGCUGCAAACACGGCUUGGUGUUCCUAGAUCACCAAGAGAGUGCAUUCUUUUUGGCCCAGAAUGGGAACCUGUAAGUUCAAUUACUGUGCUUCCUUUCAUUGAUGAUAGUGACAAGUACUAUGGCAAGAGAAUUCAUGAAUAUAGUAAAGAGCUGAGGAGCCUGGGUGUUACCAUCAAGUAUAAAGAUGGGGUGAGGUUUGUGGCUGCAGGUGUCUACUUUCCCCAAGAUCCCAGCACCAUAACUCCUGAAAGUGUGUUCUCUCUGCUGCAGUGCAUCCAGAUAUUAAUGAAAGAUGGUUAUACUUUGACUGAUGCUUUCCGGUCAAAGGUUUCUCAAAGUUGGUUAAAAACCAAUGCUGGGUAUAGGUCUCCAGGCCAAUGUUUGUUGUUUGGCUCUGAGUGGGGUUCUUUCUUACAGAGGAACGAUGGACCUUUCAUUGAUGAAGAAUUCUAUGGCCCCAACAUUACAGCCUACAAGAACGAGCUCAGAGAAAUUGGAGUGACCGUUGAUUUGUUAAAUGGGUGCUCUUUGCUUGCUGGCUAUCUUGAUUUUCAUUCUGAAUUUUCAACCAUUGUUCGAGUCUAUAAUUACUUGAAUGAACACGGCUGGUCGCCUUCCAAUGAUACUCCUAGAAGGAUCUGGAUCCCUAAUGGGAGUGACAGUGGAGAGUGGGUUAGUCCUGAAAAAUGUGUUAUUCAUGACAAGGAUGGUCUCUUCAGUUCACAGCUGAAUGUUUUAGAGAAACACUAUAAGCCGGAAUUAUUCAGCCUUUUCUGCAGAGUCAUGCAAGUUAAAUCCAAUCCUUCUAUUGAUGACUACUGCGAACUUUGGAAUAACUGGGAAAAUUCAAGGGAGCAACUGUCACGUUCGGAGUGUUGUGCUUUCUGGGCCCAUGUUUCAAAGCACUGGAGUAAAAACACACAGAAAACUCUUGCCGACAGCUUGUCAAAACUGCCAGUUGAAUCAGGAUCGGAGAGAAUAAUGCUGUUUGACAAACGUGAUGUUUUCAUUGCAGAUGACCUCCAGCUGAAGUAUCUUUUCCAACAAUCUUCGCCUCACUCAAUUUUUGUGUGGUAUCCCCAGCCAAGCAUCCCUUCCUUGCCCCGGACUAAGCUGCUUGACAUCUACAGGGAAAUUGGUGUUCGUUCUAUCUCUAAAUCUGUACAGAAGGAAGAAAUCUCCAAGUUGGAGGCCAGUGAACUCAAGCAAGUGUCUCAGAAGGAAACUUUGAUCGGAAAAGGCCUGCUGAAACUCAUUCUUGGCUUUCUCGCUGGUCCUUCUAUUGAAAUGGAAGCAGGACAAAGGCUGGAAGCUGUCAAAGGCCUUCUCAAUCUUAAGGUGUUUGAGACGGAGGGGCAAACUGCAGCAAGCUACAGAUUGUCAAUGUCUUCUGGGGAAACCAUGGACGUUGAUGCAAGAGGAAUGAUGCGCUGGGACCGGGAGGAUUCCAAGCUUUUCAUGCAGAAGAUGGAUAUAUCGGGUGGACAUAAAAAUAAAAUCGAAUAUGCUACAAUCUUCGCUGAAGUAAUAUCAGAGGGCGUCUUACAGGAGAAAGAAGACCAUAUAUCUGAUCUCGCCGAACUGAUCAAGUUGGCAUUCUUCCUGGAUUUUGAUGAGGAAGCAGUUGGGUUCUUGAUGAGAUCCAAGAAUCUCCAAGUUUUCUUGGAGGACGAGGAGCUUCUCUCUUCAGCCCUUUCUCUCGACUAGGUAUGCAUUCUAUGCCAUGACCAAUAAAUAGUUGAAAGUGUCAUUUUCCUUAUAUUUCCCCGUUUGAAGUGUGUACUGGUGUGUGCUAUUAGAAUAUUAUAUAAUGUAUAUGAAUCUGGUGUGAAAUGGCUGAUUUAGGCAGCCUAUAUUGUGAUAAUUAUGCCCUUGUGCUUGCCUUUUUUAUUAAAUCGAUUUAAUAUUAAUUGACAUGCAAGAGACAAAAUUAAAUAUUUAAAAGGAGAUGCAUGUGAAGAUCUAAUCUACUCAUAUGUUUUCAAACACUAAAAGUAAAAAAAAAAUUAUAUUGUAAGAGUUCAACUUUAACAUAUCAAAUUAUAAAAAAAUAAAAAAAUUACAAUAUAUCAUCCUUAAAAUAGAUGGUUGCAAUUUUUUUUUAAUCCUCAUUAAUUAUUUUUUAAAUGACUAUAUUAUUUGCUAUAGAGAAUACUCCAUCUCUAUACCUAAAUUUAACACUUGAAGAAAAAUUUUCUUCGGCUUUGAACCCCGUGAAACUCGGUUGCAUUAGAAGUUACAAAUAAAAAUGAUUUCAUUACUUUAAUAAGAUAAUAUGAGAGUAUUUGAUAUAUAAAAUUAAUAAAUGAACAUAGUCUAAUAUUUAAUUUAAUUUAUUAACCAUAUUAUGGAUUUUUUAAUUAAUUUAUUUAAUGUCAAAAAAUCUUUUUUUAGGUCUAAUAAACCCAAAAAAAAAAAAAAUUAAAACAUGUUAGGUAUUGUUUUGUUUAAUUGUUAUUAGAUUAUUAGAAAACAAUUUGGGAGUAGUUAUUAAUCGUUUUCAAAAACAAAAUUAUAUUUGAUAUUUUAAAAAUAGUUCAUUGAUUUUGUUCUCAAUGAAAGUACCAUAAACUUUAACAUAAAAUAUAAUUUUUUUUCUAAAUGUGUUCUAUAUUUUUAAUUGUUUAUUAAGACAUUUGAAAAUAUGUUAAAUUUAUUUUCAAAAUAAUAUGUUAUCAAAAUAAAUUUUGAAAAACGGUUUUGUUUCAAAAGUCUACCAACUAUUUUCUAGGUUGGAAAAUUGGUUUUAGUUAUACAAUAAUAAUUUCCAUACGGAUGCUUGAGAUAUGGAUUUAGUACCAUAUUAAAUUUAUGUAUUUAAAUAUAAAUCAUUGAAUAAAAAUAUAGCAAAAAAAAAGAUAUUUAAAUGUAAAUAUAUUGGACCACGUUAUAAAAAAAUAAAAAAAACAAGAGAACGAGACUAUUACAAGUAUCGAAGUAUGAAAUUCAAGGUGCCCACAUAAACCUUUUUUAUUGAGCACCAUUCUAUAUAAAGAUUUAUUUGAAAACUUAUUUUGAAAAUAGCUUUGUGUUUAAAUGUCUUUAUAGUUGAGAAACAAUAAAUUCAUAUUUCCUUUUUUUUCAACUUCCAUGCAAUACCUAUAGAGUCACUGUGAUUCUUGCAAAUGAGUUGAACUUGAAUCCCAAAAGUGAAUAAAAAAUUGGAUCUACAUUGAAUUGUCUUGUUGAUCUACGUUAAAUUGCCUCAUCAAUUCUUUUGAGUAAAAACUUGAUCUUAGACUUAAUUCAAACAAAAGGAGUACAUUAUGCUAAUGUAUCUUGAAUGAUCCACAUCUCAAGGUAGUUGGCCCAAUAUAUCGGGAUGAUUGGCUUAAUGAGCAUAGGGGUGGUUGACCCAAUAAGCACAUUGAAGAAUUAAUGUGACUAGUCUUGAUGUUUUUAUAGGGAUGGUAAUGGAUAAGUUUUUUUUGUACCAUCUAUGCCCAUGGGACAAAUUUGAAAGAAAUGUAUAUUGAAUGGGCUUUAUUGUUGUUUUUUCUUAAAAAAAAAAAAAAACUAGAGUCAUCAAAGAAGGUUUUCUUACCAAACCUAAUUAUAUAAAAUUAGAUAAAAAUAAUUUCAUUUCAUUUUCUUUUGACAAAAUUAAAAUUAAAAAUUUUGAAAAAUAAUUUAAAAAUUAAAGGAGAUAUGAGAGAGGUAAGCAUGGGAAAUUGCUAGGGUGCAACUUGGGCGGGUUGGAUUGGGCCAACCCAAACCUAACCCUCUAUUUGGACGGGCUUAGAUAGAUGUUUUUAAUAUUUGGGUUGAACUUGUAUUAAGUUUUCUCAAUAUGAACCCAACCCAAACCGGUUUAAUGUUUUUAUACUUGUAUAAUAAUAUUCAUCUCCUUUUCAAAUUUUAAAAAUAUCAAAUUAUAAAUAUAUCAUAUACUUCUCAUUUAUAUAUAUAUAUAUAUAUAUAUAUAUAUAUAUAUAUAAGUUUAUUUUUAUUAUAAAAUAUGAAAUUUUGUACCACUAUGGUAACUUAUGGAUGAUCAUCCAUAAAUAUAUUUUAUAACUCUUUAUAAAAGGAAGAGACUUCUAAUGAAAUUUAAUAGAGUUUUCUAAUACAUUCUAUUAUCUCUUUCUUGAUUUCUUCUUCUCUCAUUUUGUUUUAUAAUAAUUUUUACUUUUUUAUUGUUAUCUUGAAAUUUUGUCUUAUUUUUUAUAUAAAUAUAUAUAAUUUAAAAAAAAAACCAUUAUGAAUAAAUUUUAAAUUAUGCAACCCAACCAAUUCCACUCUUGUCCAAUCAACUUGAGUUUAAUUCUAUUAACCCAAUUUUAAUCCAAGUUUAAAAAAACAAGAUUGAGCACUUCAAGUUAGAAAUCGGAUUAAAUUGAGUUUGGGUUAAUCAUUUCUUAAUUUAAAUUAAACUCAAGUUAACUUUCAACCUAUUCAAGUUGUAACCUUAGAAAUUCUAUACCUAUCUCAAUCUACCAUUUUUUAGUUAAAACUUUUUUUAGGAUGGAAAUAUGAGUAAUUUUAAAUAAUAUAAGUACCCAUCCUCAUCCAUUGAGUUGCUAUCCCUAGUGUUUUUAUAGGAUUGCCACCCUCUAUUUUGAGUAUUUUUAGAAGAUUGUCGGUCUCGUUAUUAGCUCAUAUUUAUAGUUUAAUCCUCUUGGAGACUCCCGUUCUACUUGUACAGUCACUUAUAUGUUUUUUUAUCCAUCUCCCUUUGGAAAAUGAGAGGAAAAGACAAUGCAAGAACUCUAUGGUCCAUAAAGACUCGGCGUGGAGGAAUGGUGACGUCACUUUCUAGUACAAUGGGCCAAACUUUUUUCUCAUUUUCCACUAGGUGGGUGCCUUUUAAAAUCUUUAAAUUUUUAUUUUUUAUUUUUGUUCAUUCUUUAUUAAUUCCUUCUCCACUUUCUAAUUCCUUCGCCCGGAGGUUUCCCCUUUGGUUAAAGUUAAUCAUUAAAGGUAAAAAAAGAUUAAAUAAAAUAACAUUUUCAUUAAUAAUCGCAUUAAAGUGAAUCAUCAAAGUUAAUAUGAUUAAAUAAUAUAAUAUUUUGACUAAUAAUUAAGGAUUUAAUUAAAAAUUAUUCUUGAAAUUAGUUUUAUAUCACUUCUUAAUUGUUUUUAGAAAUAGAAUUACAUUUGAUAUUUGAAAAAUAGUUUUUUUUUUUAUCUUAUUUUUCAUUAAAGUAUUAUUAGCAUAAAAGUUUUUAAAAUAUUACUUAUAUUUUCAAUUAUUACUCAAAACACUUUAAAAGUAAUAAACGAAAAUAUCUUAAAUUUGUUCUCAAAACAAUUCAUCUUUAAAAUAAUUUUUCAAAAAACUAUUUUUUUUUUCAAAAGUCUAUUAAAAUUGUUUUCUAAGUUAGAAAAUUGCUUUCAAUUAUAAAAAUAGAGGUUGUUCAAAAAUGUUUUUGAAAACAAUAUUAAAAAAUAUUUGUAUGAUAAUUUCUAAAACAAAAUUUUGUUUAUAAAUUUGAAAUGUUUUAAUUUAUUUUGUGUAUUUAAAUAUUCCUUAAAAAUAUUUUUUUUAUAUGUAUUGAUUGUUAUUUAAAAAAGUUUUAAAAAACAAGAAAAACCAUUAUAUAUUCUAAAGAAAAUAAAUCAUAUUUUUAUAAUAAUUCUCAAAAACCUAUUUUGGGAUAACCAAUAAAAAAACAAAUUUUGAUUUUUUUUUUUUUGUUAAAAUAGCUCAAAAAUAUAACCUAAAAGGUUGUUUUCAAAAAUAGUUUUAAAAUAUAUCCUUAGCAUAUGGAUUUGGUAUCAUAUCAAAACUCAAAAUAUGAAUCUUUAUGUGUAUGAUUAAAAAUAUAUCACUAAGUAAAAAUAUAAAAAAAAAUGAAAUAUUUAUAUAAAUAUAUAGGACCAAAUUAUCAGGGAAAAAAAACAUUAAAAGUAUAAACAAAUGAAAUUUGUAGUUUUUGUAUAAACAUUUUAGCCUAAGUAGUGUUAUAUAUAUAUAUAUAUAUAUAUAUAUAUAUAUAUAUAUAUAUAUAUAUAUAAAGGCUUAUUUGGUAAUGGCUAAUAAUAAGUUCUAUUUGGAAAACAUUUAUUUAUUUACAAAAAAACAGAUUUGAUCAAUUUUUAUUAUUAUUGAAUAUAUAUAUAUAUAUAUAUAAUAACAAAUUUGAGUUGUUUUAGAAAAACAAUUGAAAAUAUGAUAUUUAAAAAAAUUUUACAUUAUGUAUUAUGUACAGGUGUAUAAUACAUGGAAUAAGCUUUCCAAAUUAAAUUCUUUAAGAAAAUUUUGUUUGUAAAAUAAAUUGAGAAGUAUUUUAUGUAAUAAGAGUUUUUUUUAAAAAAACUCUGUAAAAAUUUAUAUUUAGGAAAAUUGCUAAGUUAUCAAAUAGUUAUUAUAUCAACCACUAAAUCUAAAUUAUUGAUCUUCAUAAUUAAAUUUGAAUGAUUGAAUAAAUGUAACAUGAAAUGGGAUCAUAAUGGAAAAUUAGGAAUCAGGUAUAAAAGAAUAAGCUUCUCAAAUGGAAAUUCAUUCAAUUAUAAAUUUCUCCAUUUUUGGAUAUAUUUUUCAAUCACAAUUCUAUAGUUUUUUAUACGAUUUAUCUUUAUUUAAAAAAUAAAAUAAAACAUGCCUUUUUCUUCACUGUAAUUCGUUGAAUCAAAUUUUUAUAAGAUUUAGUAAUUAUUUUAAAUUAGAAAUUUCAAACAAAAAAAUCGGAUAAUAUAAAAUUAGGUAGAAAUAAAUACAAAUAAAUCUAUUUUACACGUGGUCGUUUAUUAUUGGGCAUAUCGAAAAUAAUCAAAAUACACCACUUUUAAAUCUCACUCCCCACAUGCAAGGACGAUUCCAAAUUUCCAACUUCAUGGAACCACACCUCGUAGACCCGAGCAAGUCUCCUCGUCCGUACGUCUCGCCCCUUUUUUUUCUCUUUCUUUAGUUGAUGUCGAUUCCGUUGAUUGCUUACUUCCUUCACAAGUUUUGCUUCUUUACUAAGUUUCUCACAUUCUAGUCCACACAAAACGACGAUGGAUUGGACAUUCUUUAAAUGCGUCUCUUUUAUAUAUGUAGACACUUCUGUGUGUUGCCAUUCAGUGCCCUUGGCAUCUUUCUACUGAGAGUGAAGACUGAGAGUGCUUUGUGUGAAUCGAGAAGGAGGAGUGGUCGUAAUGGCGACGCCGGAGGAGCAUAUAAAGGAGAUAAGGAGGACGAAGUUCUCGAUUGGAGGAGAGCUGAAUCCGCUGACGGAGGAUCUUCACCAGGCGGUGAAGAAUCUCUCAGCUGAGCUUUACGCUAAGGAUGUUCAUUUCCUCAUGGAACUCAUUCAGGUCUGUGCUUUAUAUGUUUGUCUUGUUGUUUUUAGAGAUGUGAUGAGCACUCUGCGUUGUAUGCAGCCAUUGUUUUGUCAUGUUAUUUAAAAUUUUGAGCGCUUUGAGCGCUGCUCUGUUCCUCUGCUAGAAAACCAAGGAAAAUGACGGUUAUGAGACUUUUGAAUAUUUUGUUUUCUUUAUAUGGUAUUUGUUUCUUGGAGAUGACUAACUAGAGAUUCAUAAUUAUAUGAUAUAUCUUUGAAGUAAAAAUCAACUUAGGAAAGUAUAUGAUAUAUUUAUAAUUUGAUAUUUUUAAAAUUUAAAAAGGAGAUGAAUAUUAUUAUACAAGUAUAAAAACACUAAAUCAGGUUUGGUUUUGGUUCGUAUUGAGAAAACUUUAACACAAGUUCAACCCAAAUAUUAAAUCGGUGCACUAACUUUCUGAAGAAUAUGUUACUUAUCUAUUAUUCUAAUUCGAUCAUUAUGAUCGGAAAGUGAAGUGAUAUGGAUUGAGAAUUAGUUUUGCACUAACUUUUUGAAGAAUAUGUUACUUAUCUAUUAUUCUAAUUCGAUCAUUAUGAUCGGAAAGUGAAGUGAUAUGGAUUGAGAAUUAGUUUUGUUACAUUCAAACUUCGGUUACAUUUUUUUGGUCUUGGAAAAUCUAAAUGUGAAGAAAUCACAUAUUCUAAAUUUUACAUAACAGAAUGCAGAAGAUAAUGACUACCCGGAAGGUGUAAAUCCAUCACUGGAGCUCGUUAUAACUUCACAGGACAUAACUGGCACUGGAGCAUCCGCGACAUUGUUGAUUUUCAACAACGAAAAAGGGUUUUCAGCUAAAAAUAUUGAGUCUAUCUGCAGUGUUGGGAGGUCCACCAAGAAAAACAAUAGGAAGUGUGGCUAUAUUGGAGAGAAAGGUACCUUCAUUUUUUUACUCUUUCGCUCAUAUCUCUCCAUCUUCCAUGCUGUAAAUUUUAAAACGAAACAGAGCAAGCUCUAACUCUCUGUCUGCAAAAAGAAAUUCUUUCUUUUCGAUAAUCCCUAGUCAACGAUAGACUGUCUCCCGAUUGUCUCUGUGAAACAAUCGGAAGACAACAAGGAUUAGAUAAAAUGAGAAAUAGAGGUAUGUGAUAGUAGAAAGUGAUCUAUCUUGGUUCUAUAUUUUUAUGCAUUUCAUUAAUACUGGGAACAAAAGAAACAAGGGGUCUUAUUAUUCUUACAUGUUCAUUAGUAACAUUCCCUUGAUACUUUCCAAGGGUAUCACUCGUAUUUUGCUUAUGCUUAAUGUUUUCUGAUUCUACUAGAAAUCUUAUAAGAACUUGUUUUGUUAUAAGUGGAUUUAUGGGAUUGGUUCUUCAAUGGUCUUGGGUCAGAAUCCUAUUUUGACUCUGCAUCAUCGAUUCCACUAUUAUUAGUGAGCAAUAAUGGAAAAAUUCUUUCAUAUUCAUAGAAAUAAGGGACAUAAUUUACAUGGAUAUAGUAAGUUUCGCUUGGGCUGCUUUAAUGGUAGUCUUUACAUUUUCUCUUUCACUCGUAGUAUGGGGAAGAAGUGGACUUUAGAGGUACUAUUGAUUCAGUUGAGAAUCUUUAACUACAGAUCAAGUAUAUCCUCAAUUCUUAGAACCUCUAGUGUAGAAACACUUUAUUCAUGUCAAAAAGUUAGCUUAAUCAAUUCAGCUAGACACCCCAACUUUGGUCUUUACUAAGUCAACCUUCUCCUUUGCUUAACUUGCUAGCCUAAGAUGUACACGACUUAAAAGCUAAAAUGAAAACUGUGGGCAAGACUUUUGGUCUUUACUAAGUCAACCUUCUCCCUUGCUUAACUUGCUAGCCUAAGAUGCACACGACUUAGAAGUAUUUCUUAUACAACUUGUCGUCUUGCUAAUAUGCAGGAAUUGGGUUCAAGAGUGUAUUUCUAAUCACAGCACAACCUUACAUAUUCAGUAAUGGAUAUCAGAUACGAUUCAAUGAAGAGCCUUGCCCGCACAGCAAUCUUGGGUACAUAGUCCCUGAAUGGGUUCAGUGGAAUCCAACUCUUGAUGACAUAAAGCAAAUAUACGGUUCUCAUGCAGUCCUUCCAACCACUACCAUAAUCUUGCCUCUAAAGCCUGACAAGAUCGGCCCUGUGAAGGAACAGCUCUCAAGUAUUCAACCUGAAGUUCUAUUAUUUCUUUCAAAGAUUAAGCAGUUUUCUGUCAAGAAACAUAAUGAGGAUCCCAGGCUCAAUACGGUGAAUGCUAUAUCUAUUUCAAGUGAAAUUAACUUUGUUAAAAGGAAGAAUAUUGAUGCUGAUUCCUAUAUUCUCCAUCUCUCCACGGAUGGAGCUAAGGAUGUGACUGAAAAAGAAUGCAGCUAUUAUAUGUGGAGGCAGAAGUUCCCUGUCAGGCAGGAAAAUCAAGUAGAAAGAAGACUUGGAGUGGAGGAGUUGGUUAUUACGCUGGCAUUUCCAUUUGGACAGCGACUGAAUAGAGGGAUAAGCUCUCCAGGAGUCUAUGCAUUUCUUCCCACGGAGAUGGUUACAAAUUUUCCUUUCAUUAUUCAGGCAGAUUUUGUUCUUGCAUCAUCCAGGGAAACAAUCCUCUUGGACAACAAAUGGAACCAAGGCAUUCUAGAUUGUGUGCCUUCUGCUUUUCUUAAUGCCUUCAUUUCACUGGUUACAACAUCACAAGAUGUUCCAGUCUCUACACUGACCCCAAUGUUUAAGUUCUUGCCUAUCUACAGCUCUCCUUAUCCAAAGCUCAAUGAUGUGAGGGAGUUGAUCAAAGCAGAACUGCUUAAGAAGAAUAUCGUACCAUGUGAGUCGUAUUCAGACCAGAAGAUCUUUCGUAAACCUUGUGAAGUGGGUAGGUUAAUGCCUUCUUUCUGGAAUAUCCUGAAAAAGGCAAGGAAGCAAGGGGUAAGUUUGCAUUCUCUGUCAUCCCAUGGAAAGUAUAUUCUGAAUUCUUCAUUUGAUACAGAGGAGUACGAUCACAUAUUGAAUUUCCUUGGUGUGGAACCUGUCAAUAGCGAAUGGUAUGCCAAGUGUAUCAAGAGUUCCAAUCUUGUUUUGGGAGUGACAGAGGAUGGUUAUUUGGAGCUUCUACUCUUUAUUGCUGAGAAAUGGAGUUCCUCUUUCUACAGCACCGACAUGAAGAAUGUUCCUCUCCUAAAAUAUGUUGGUCCUGAUGGAAAUGUUGUUUUGUGCGCUACAAGCAAUGUCACAAUGUGGAAUGGUGAAAGUACGAUUUGUAUGUCCCGUGAGUCUCAGCAUAUUUCAUGGUUGAUAGACUGGAACAGGGAAUUUAGACGUGUGACAGAUCGAUAUUUUGUGCCCAAAAGCACACAAGAAGCUAUCAGGUCUUUUUUUAAGAGAGAGACUCUCUUGGAAUGGCUUCAAAAUCAAGUGAAGGUUCGGGCUGUAAGUGUGAAAGACUUUGCAGUCAUUCUUUGUAAUUCUCUUAAGGGUGACCGACAGCUUGCUAUCGCCUAUGUUCACUUCCUUUAUCAUUCCCUCUCGAAGAGUUAUCUACCAAAGGGGGAUGUUGACAAUUUGUGUGGUAUCAUGCCACUUGUAGAUAACUAUGGGCAUGUGAGCACUCAGAGAAAAGGGGUUCUCGUUCCUGCUAACGGAAGCAAAUGGGUGGGAUUAAUGGGUACAAAUCCGUGGAGGGGAGCAGGCUAUGUUGAGCUGGGAGAAGACUAUUUGCGCUCAGGCAGUUAUGCAGGUUUAUUCACAUCAGAGAUGCAACUAAUGACGUUUCUCAAAACUCAUGUUGCAGCUUCUGAUAUACCUCAUAUAUCUCCUCCCGACGCCGAGUUAUCUGCCGCAUAUGCACCACUCACCAAGCAAAAUGCAUUCUUGCUGUUGGACUGGAUUCACAACCUGAAAUAUAAGCAAGGUCUGCCAGCUAAGUUCCUGACAUCCAUUAAGAAGGGAAGCUGGUUCAAAAUUUCCCUCAGUGGCAGUCCUGGAUAUAGGCCACCAUCAGAGUCUUUCCUGCUUGCUUCAUCAGAUGAAAAUCUUCUGCAGGACGAGUCAGUAAUGGUUGAUAUUCCUUUGAUUGACCAAGGAUUUUAUGGAAAUGGCAUCAAUUGUUAUAAGGAGGAGCUCAAAACUGUUGGAGUAAUGUUUGAAUAUGGCGAAGCCUGUGAGUUUAUAGGGAGGCACCUCAUGUCUCUUGCAGCUUCCUCUGCGUUGACUAAAUCCAGUGUGUUUGAAAUACUCAAGUUCAUCAGAUUUUUGAGACUUAGAUUUCUUCCGGCUGAUAAAUUCAUCCAGAGUAUCAUAAAUGGAAGAUGGUUGAAGACUUCCUGUGG